rnacentral:rRNA from 1 species
UGGGGGAUAUUGCACAAUGGGGGAAACCCUGAUGCAGCAACGCCGCGUGAGGGAAGAAGGUUUUCGGAUUGUAAACCUCUGUCCUUGGUGAAGAUAAUGACGGUAGCCAAGGAGGAAGCUCCGGCUAACUACGUGCCAGCAGCCGCGGUAAUACGUAGGGAGCGAGCGUUGUCCGGAUUUACUGGGUGUAAAGGGUGCGUAGGCGGCUAUGCAAGUCAGGUGUGAAAACUAUGGGCUUAACCCAUAGACUGCACUUGAAACUGUGUAGCUUGAGUGAAGUAGAGGUAGGCGGAAUUCCCGGUGUAGCGGUGAAAUGCGUAGAGAUCGGGAGGAACACCAGUGGCGAAGGCGGCCUACUGGGCUUUAACUGACGCUGAAGCACGAAAGCGUGGGUAGCAAACAGG